rnacentral:lncRNA from 1 species
AAUCAUUUUUACCACAUGGAUGCAAAAGUCACCUUUUAAAUCACUGCAUGAUGAAUAUAAGAAAUAGAAUUUGUUGCUCUCUGCUGGUGUCUUACACAAUUGUUAUUUGACCUAGAGCAAGUGUUCAAUGAUUAUUGACUUGCAUUUCAGAUAUACUAUAUGCUACCUGAAUUUUCUGAGUCAAAGACAGUUUUCUGGGAAUUCAAGAAAAUUCCCUGCUUCACACAGCUCACGGGCACAUUUCCUCUGGCCGUCAUUUAGCAUCAGUGUGACAGAGUGCUCCAAGAGUUCCCAGAAGGACGACUUACUGCACAUUUUGAUGAAUGUUUUAAAGUUAAACAAUUUAUUUUCAGGUAUCAUCAUUAAAAAGUAAAAUUGAUGACUCAGAUGUAUAUUUAAUUACUUAAACUUAAACUAUAAUGCUUUUCAUAAACUUUGAUGUAAUGUAAAAGUAGUCUUUUUUUUUUUUCAGUACUCUGCCAUAAUGGUAACACUAAAGGGAUCCUCUCUUUUUUUAAACUGGGUUUUACUAAGUAACAAAAUACAUUUUAAUACAUUCUCCCAGCAUAUAUACUACAGCUAAACCUUAAACUUUCCUUUCCUCUAACAGUAACAGAAGGAACUGUAUUAGCUUGUCUAACCUAACUAAUUUCAUCUUAAUAAGACAAUUAGACAAACUGAAGCUCUGUGCGUGGCUGAGCAGGAGACAUAGCCCAGGGAUAGAGAAAUUUCCUAGAAUAUCCACAACCCUGGGCUUUGCCACGACAUAAUUAAAAAAUAAAAAAUAAA